CCUACGGGUGGCAGCAGUGAGGAAUAUUGGUCAAUGGACGAGAGUCUGAACCAGCCAAGUAGCGUGAAGGAUGACUGCCCUAUGGGUUGUAAACUUCUUUUAUAAAGGAAUAAAACGAGGCACGUGUGCCUUUUUGCAUGUACUUUAUGAAUAAGGAUCGGCUAACUCCGUGCCAGCAGCCGCGGUAAUACGGAGGAGGCGAGCGUUGUCCGGAUUUACUGGGUGUAAAGGGCGUGUAGCUGGGUUGACAAGUCAGUUGUGAAAGUCUGCGGCUCAACCCCAAAAUUGCAAUUGAUACUGGUAGUCUUGAGUACAGGUGAGGUAGGCGGAAUUCGUGGUGUAGCGGUGAAAUGCGUAGAUAUCACGAAGAACCCCAAUGGCGAAGGCAGCUUACUAAACUACAACUGACAGUGAGGCGCGAAAGUGUGGGUAGCAAACAGGAUUAGAUACCCCAGUAGUC
rnacentral:rRNA from 1 species